rnacentral:rRNA from 1 species
AUUGAACGCUGGCGGCAGGCCUAACACAUGCAAGUCGAACGAGUGGCGGAAGGGUGAGUAAUGUCUGGGAAACUGCCUGAUGGAGGGGGAUAACUACUGGAACCGGUAGCUAAUACCGCAUACCAUCAGAUGUGCCCAGAUGGGAUUAGCUAGUUGGUGGGGUAACGGCUCACCAAGGGGACGAUCCCUAGCUGGUCUGAGAGGAUGACCGGCAACAGUGGAACUAAGACACGGUCCGUACUGCUACGGGGGGGAGCAGGGGGGAAUAUUGCACAAUGGGCGCAAGCCUGAUGCAGCCAUGCCGCUGGUAUAAGAAGGCCUUCGGGUUGUAAAGUACUUUCAGCGGGGAGGCGUUACCCGCGGAAGAAGCACCGGCUAACUCCGUGCCAGCAGCCGCGGUAAUUC